rnacentral:rRNA from 1 species
GUUGGUAGAGUAAAAGCCUACCAAGACGAUGAUGUGUAGCUGGACUGAGAGGUUGAACAGCCACAUUGGGACUGAGACACGGCCCAAACUCCUACGGGAGGCAGCAGUAGGGAAUUUUCGGCAAUGGAGGAAACUCUGACCGAGCAACGCCGCGUGAACGAUGAAGUAUUUCGGUAUGUAAAGUUCUUUUAUUGAAGAAGAAAAAGUAGUGGAAAAACUAUAUUGACGUUAUUCAAUGAAUAAGCCCCCGGCUAACUAUGUGCCAGCAGCCGCGGUAAGACAUAGGGGGCGAGCGUUAUCCGGAAUUAUUGGGCGUAAAGGGUGCGUAGGCUGUUAGAUAAGUCUAUAAUUUAAUUUCAGUGCUUAACGCUGUCUUGUUAUAGAAACUGUCUUGACUAGAGUGAGAUAGAGGCAAGCGGAAUUCCAUGUGUAGCGGUAAAAUGUGUAAAUAUAUGGAGGAACACCAGAAGCGUAGGCGGCUUGCUGGGUCUUUACUGACGCUGAGGCACGAAAGCGUGGGUAGCAAACAGGAUUAGAUACCCUGGUAGUCCACGCCGUAAACGAUGAGUACUAAGUGUCGGGGUAAAACUCGGUACUGAAGUUAACACAUUAAGUACUCCGCCUGAGUAGUACGUACGCAAGUAUGAAACUUAAAGGAAUUGACGGGACUCCGCACAAGCGGUGGAUCAUGUUGUUUAAUUCGAAGAUACACGAAAAAUCUUACCAGGUCUUGACAUACUCUGCAAAGCUAUAGAAAUAUAGUGGAGGUUAUCAGGGAUACAGGUGGUGCAUGGUUGUCGUCAGUUCGUGUCGUGAGAUGUUAGGUUAAGUCCUAAAACGAACGCAACCCUUGUCGUUAAUUGCCAGCACAUAAUGGUGGGGACUUUAACGAGACUGCCAAUUAAACAUUGGAGGAAGGUGAGGAUUACGUCAAAUCAUCAUGCCCCUUAUGAUCUGGGCUACAAACGUGAUACAAUGGCUGUGACAAAGAGUAGCUGAAACGCGAGUUUUUAGCCAAUCUCAAAAAAGCAGUCUCAGUUCGGAUUGAAGUCUGUAACUCGACUUCAUGAAGUUGGAAUCGCUAGUAAUCGCGAAUCAGCAUGUCGCGGUGAAUACGUUCUCGGGGUUUGUACACACCGCCCGUC